CUUCUUAGAGGGACUAUCGGUGUUUAACCGAUGGAAGUUUGAGGCAAUAACAGGUCUGUGAUGCCCUUAGAUGUUCUGGSCCGCACGCGCGCUACACUGAUGAAGUCAACGAGUUCAUUUCCUUUAUCGGAAGAUAUGGGUAAUCUUUUGAAACUUCAUCGUGAUGGGGAUAGAGCAUUGCAAUUAUUGCUCUUGAACGAGGAAUCCCUAGUAAGCACAAGUCACUAGCUUGUGCUGAUUACGUCCCUGCCCUUUGUACACACCGCCCGUCGCUACUACCGAUUGAAUGGCUUAGUGAGGC
rnacentral:rRNA from 1 species